rnacentral:rRNA from 1 species
GACGAACGCUGGCGGCGUGCUUAACACAUGCAAGUCGAACGGUGAAGCGCCUUCCUUUUUGGUGGGUGUGGAUGAGUGGCGAACGGGUGAGUAACACGUUAGUAACCUGCCCCCUUCUUCUGGAUAACCGCAUGAAAGUGUGGCUAAUACGGGAUAUUCUGGGUCUGUCGCAUGAUGGGUCUGGGAAAGAUAUUGUUUCGGUGGGGGAUGGGCUCGCGGCCUAUCAGCUUGUUGGUGGGGUGACGGCCUACCAAGGCGGUGACGGGUAGCCGGCCUGAGAGGGUGGACGGUCCCAGUGGGACUGAGCCACGGCGCAGACUCCUACGGGAGGCAGCAGGGGGGAAUACUGAACAAUGGGCGCAAGCCUGAUGCAGCGACGCCGCGGGAGGGAUGGAGGCCUUCGGGUUGUGAACCUCUUUCGCCAGUGAAGCAGGCCUGCCUCGUUUGUGGGUGGGUUGACGGUAGCUGGAUAAGAAGCGCCGGCUAACUACGUG